rnacentral:rRNA from 1 species
AGAGUUUGAUACUGGCUCAGAAUGAACGCUGGCGGCGUGCUUAACACAUGCAAGUCGUGCGCGAAAGCCCCUUCGGCCGCUGGAGAGCGGCGAACGGGUGAGUAACACGUGGGUAACCUGCCUUGGAGUGGGGGAUAACCUGGGGAAACUCGGGCUAAUACCGCAUUCGUUGGUCGGAUCAUGGUCCGAUCAAGAAAGCUGGCCUCUGCUUGCAAGCUAGCGCUCCGAGAGGGGCCCGCGGCUGAUUAGCUAGUUGGUGGGGUAAUGGCCCACCAAGGCGACGAUCAGUAGCCGGCCUGAGAGGGUGAUCGGCCACACUGGGACUGAGACACGGCCCAGACAACUACGGGAGGCAGCAGUGGGGAAUAUUGGACAAUGGGCGCAAGCCUGAUCCAGCAACGCCGCGUGGAGGAAGAAGGCCUUCGGGUCGUAAACUCCUGUCAGAUGGGACGUAAAAGCACCGGCAAAUAGUCGGCGCCCUUGACGGUACCAUCAGAGGAAGGCCCGGCUAACUCCGUGCCAGCAGCCGCGGUAAUACGGAGGGGGCUAGCGUUAUUCGGAAUCAUUGGGCGUAAAGGGCGCGUAGGCGGCGACGCAAGUCAAAGGUGAAAUCCCUCGGCUCAACCGAGGAAUUGCCUCUGAAACUGCGUCGCUCGAAGCCGGGAGGGGGUAGCGGAAUUCCCAGUGUAGCGGUGAAAUGCGUAGAUAUUGGGAGGAACACCAGUGGCGAAGGCGGCUACCUGGACCGGUUCUGACGCUGAGGCGCGAAAGCGUGGGGAGCAAACAGGAUUAGAUACCCUGGUAGUCCACGCUGUAAACGAUGGGUGCUCGGUGUCGCGGGUAUCGACCCCUGCGGUGCCUUAGCUAACGCGUUAAGCACCCC